AAGGACUUCAAUCUCAGUGUGUAUGUGCCCCCCUCCAUCAAAGGUGGCAACAUAACCACAGAAGUCACAGCCCUGCUGGACACAGUGGUAACAUUGGAGUGCGAGGCUCGUGGAGUGCCUCUUCCCACCAUCACCUGGUACCGAAAGGGAGAGGCCAUCUUGUCCAACCGACAGGUUCAGUACGUUGAGCGAGGCCACUACCUGAAGAUCUCUCGGGCGCAGGCGUCAGAUGCCGGCCAGUACACCUGCAAGGUGACCAGUGUCGCUGGGAGCACUGAGAAGAGCUAUGAACUGGACGUCUACUUGCCUCCUACCAUUGCAGGGGGUGAUGAUGGGCCAACUGAGAGGAAAGUGGUCCUCAGUAAGCCUCUGAUUCUGGAGUGUGAGGCUGGGGGGCACCCUCCCCCCUCCCUCACAUGGCUGAAGGAUGGAGUUCCUGUGCGUGACGGUGAAAGUGUCCGUCUUCUCGAGCAGGGGAGUAAAAUAGAAAUUCUCUCAGCUACGGUGU